UAGAGCCGUCUGGGAACCCUGGUCACCAAAGUGUGCACUGUUCAAUCAGGGGGAAUGAGCCUAAGGGAAGACAUGGCAUAAAGACAGGUGUCAGAAGAAACUAUCCAAGUGACAGCCCAGCAGAAUCCGAAAGCAAAGAAAUGGAUUUCAGCAAAACUAUAAAGUUCCAGCCGGGAGUCUUACCGUAAAAGUAGCAUAAAAGGAAGAAAGAGAAACCACAAACGCUUCCCUGAACAUCAAAAAAACCAGCAAAUUGGAGAUUUGAGAGAAUCAGAAGGAAAAGAACAAAAGCAGACACCCCAGGAGGGGAAAACUCUGUCCCCGCCCUCCCGUGGUGCUUUUCCCACUUGAGCUUUUGGACAUCAUCCUGAGUAUACCUGAGACAUGGCUAGAAAGAAAAAGAAAAAAAAAAGACAAAGAGCUGGGGAUGGGUGGGGUCCCAACAAUACCAUCGCUACCGCCUUUAUGGAAUUCAUGGUCUAGUGAGCCCCUGACUUUUGCCAGCAUUCCCAAACUGCCUCGGCUCAAGGUGAAGCUAUCUAAAUAGUACCUGAAUAAACAGAAGGCUUGGGUCAA